UACGAAGGGGGCUAGCGCUGUUCGGAAUUACUGGGCGUAAAGCGUAUGUAGGCGGAUCGUUAAGUCGGGGGUGAAAUCCCGAGGCUCAACCUCGGAACUGCCUUCGAUACUGGCGAUCUUCGAGUCCGGGAGAGGUGAGUGGAACUCCGAGUGUAGAGGUGAAAUUCGUAGAUAUUCGGAAGAACACCAGUGGCGAAGGCGGCACUCUGGGCUGGAAUUGACGCUGAGGAGCGAAAGCAUGGGGAGCGAACAGG
rnacentral:rRNA from 1 species